UCGGGUGUGGUGUAUGGUGCACGCUGCCUCCUCCAUGGAUUGAUACGCAGUAUAUUUAAGGAGAGGACCGGGUUCGAUUCUCGGCGCCCGAA